UACGUAGGGGGCAAGCGUUGUCCGGAUUUAUUGGGCGUAAAGAGCGUGUAGGCGGCUUUACAGGUCCGUUGUGAAAACUCGAGGCUCAACCUCGAGACGCCGGUGGAAACCGUAAAGCUAGAGUCCGGAAGAGGAGAGUGGAAUUCCUGGUGUAGCGGUGAAAUGCGCAGAUAUCAGGAGGAACACCCGUGGCGAAAGCGGUUCUCUGGGACGGUACUGACGCUGAGACGCGAAAGCGUGGGGAGCGAACAGG
rnacentral:rRNA from 1 species